UAAGGUCACGACGAGACGAGUCGUUUAUUAAUUAAAAUUAAUAGGUGUCAAGUGUAAAUACAGUGAUGUAAGAGCUGAGUCAUCCUAAUAGACCGAUA
rnacentral:rRNA from 1 species